rnacentral:rRNA from 1 species
GAGGAAUAUUGGUCAAUGGGCGCAAGCCUGAACCAGCCAUGCCGCGUGCAGGAAGACGGUCCUAUGGAUUGUAAACUGCUUUUAUCUAGGGAUAAACCUCUUUACGUGUAGAGAGCUGAAGGUACUAGAAGAAUAAGCACCGGCUAACUCCGUGCCAGCAGCCGCGGUAAUACGGAGGGUGCAAGCGUUAUCCGGAAUCAUUGGGUUUAAAGGGUCCGCAGGCGGGAUUGUAAGUCAGUGGUGAAAAGCGGUAGCUCAACUGUCGUCGUGCCAUUGAUACUGCAGUCCUUGAAUUCGAUUGGAGUGGGCGGAAUAUGUCAUGUAGCGGUGAAAUGCUUAGAUAUGACAUAGAACACCGAUAGCGAAGGCAGCUCACUAAGUCUGAAUUGACGCUCAUGGACGAAAGCGCGGGUAGCAAAC